GCAAAGUAUUGCUUAAAAGUCUCAAUUUACUUGCCUGGUGCUAGGGAGAAUUAGAAGGAAAGUAUUUUUACAUGAGUAAACUCAUAAUGUAAACAGACAAACAAACAAAAAGGUCAAUCAGGACUGGAGAAGUAUCAGUUCUUUGACCCAUCCUUCAACAGAAUGAAUGCGCUGGCAGUAAUUACUUACAAUCAAAUGACGAUUUAAGCAUCAAAACAAACUAAUAAAAACAGCGGAUCUCUUCAAAAGAAAUCCAACUUUUGCCCAUCAGUCCUGCCACGUUAACGUUGCUUUUCUUUUUUUUCUUCUAUCCACAAAAUAUGUUUCUUUUUCUCUUGUGAAUGAAAAUGUUGUAAGCCAUGGAAAAAGUAGCGCCUCCUCACGACCUAAACCCUGUCUAUAACCACUUAUCGCAUCAAGAGAUUGCCUUCAUUGCCCAGCAUAGUAAGAUCACAUGUCCUUGCCAUCAGGACUGGGGAUUUGCUAUACAGAGAAGAACCAAAACAGUGCGUGCUCCAUCUGUUUGUGAAGCAUCUACGCUAGAAAUGCUUUGGCACAACCUGAUGCUCGUGCAUUCUGUCGCUUUGAGUAACUGUUCAUGCUUAUCAAGAAAAGUUACAGGCAAGUAGCUGUACGAUUUCAAAGAAACAGAGUCUGCCGGUUAACAUGAUCUUAACUGGGAUACACGGUGGUGUUUGAAGGAAAUGUUUGCAUUGCUAUUUUGUGCUUUUCUAAGCAAGCUAAAACCACUGUUAGUGGUCCUAGUGCUAACCACUAAGCCAUCGUGCGCCCUUAUAUAUGAUACAUGAUGAAAACAUAUAUAACCAAUGUGGAUAUUAUGGUGAUGUAUGUGUGUCUCCUAUAUGUCAAAACUAUAUGGCUUCCCCACACACAUGUACACAUAGGGAAACAACAUGGUCAUUUUCGCAAUUACUUUUUAACCAGUUGGUUCCGAGGUAAUUUAUAUUGGGUGUAUUUAGACAAUUCAGUCCCUCCAGGAUUUUGCAAUUAACACAAAAUCAAGGAAACGCCGCAAUAUUCAGAGGAGCUCACAAUUUUUCAAAAUGACCACAGGCUUUCCGCAGAUUUUGGCCAAGAUGUGUCAUCACAACAUGCGUUCCACCAAAGCCCCCUUGGAUUCACAUGCGUUGAAGAUGAGUUCAGCUAAAAGGUCUCAUUUACCAACAAAACAUCGCUGUGAAAGACCAUGCAAAACAAUUUCGUGCGAGUGCGAUUUCGCCAGUUCAAGUAGCUCUCCACAAAAAAAAAAAAAAAGCACAAAAAGCUCCGCACAUCGCAGCACAAAUCUGCUGCACCGAAAUCAAGCUUCUUUUUUUUUUGGCCUCAACAUUCACACACUCAGAGGGAAGAGCUAUACUUCAGUGGCGGUGUUUCCUGUGCCACAGUAUACUUUAGGUGUUAGAUUUGACAGCAAAAUUUGAAAUUACAGAUCUAUUACAACAUGAAAGACAACUUUAAUGGUGUCAUAAUAAUGCAUUCCAUCAUUUAACACAAAAUAGCUUAAUAAAGGUACAGCUGUAGGGCAAAAGGUUACAAAAGCCAAACCAAAAAUGUUAUCUAGAUAUACCAACCUGAGCAAAUACAGUAUAAUUUUUUUUUAACGGGACAAGGACCAUAUCAAUUAAUGUGGAAAAGAAGGUGACAUAUAAAACCACACACGGCAAUCUACAAUAUCGCAAGGUAAAAAAUAAAAUACAACACGCAGUUAAGAACAAUCGUAUAUACAUAUGAACACUGAAUAAAACUGCAGCAAAUGAUCCAAUUGGAAUGAUAUUCUGUAUGUUCUGACUCCACCCCAUUCAUAUUGACCGAUCAACUUUCCUGACGAUUAAGAAAGUCAGCUCAAUAGGAUCGGUUAAGAUAGGUAGCAUGCGCUCACCUUCAUCAUCGCUCGUUCUGAUGAUGUUUGCGCCGGUACAGUGGUGUGGAGGCUCCGCUGUUGGGAAAUGGAGCAUUGUGCCUACUUCACAGAUCUGGAAUUUUGACUCUGAUAAGUUUUUGGAUGGAGCAGACAACGAAACCGAUUACAUGGUAGAGUGGCAGGAUGGCACAAAAAAAAAACGCCGAAAGGAGUGUUUCAGGCUGUUCACAAAGUUGCAGGUUGAGAUUCAUCCUAGUGGCUAGUGGCUGUGUUUGAUGAGGAGGCCCAUCUUAGAAGCAAUCUUCGAGGAUUUUCUGGUAGAGAGCAGAAUUCAUGUUUCCCUCAAUUAGUGCAAGUUACCCAGGCCCUGAAGCAUCAAAGCAUCCCCACAGCAUCACACUGCCACCACCAUGCUUGAUCGUAGUUCCACUUUCAACUCAUCAUUCCACGGAACAUCCUCCCAAAAGGGUUGAGGAUCAUCAAGAUGCCAUUAUUAAACGAUUCCCUGCAACCACCCAUGGUCAACUUGACAUAGCAAUGAAUUGCAAAACAGUAGUAAACUAUUGACUACUGAUUAAAAAUGUAUUGUUUUUGUUCCAGUAUCCAAUGUGCCUGUUGAAGACAUCUGUUUGUUCCUUCCUUUAUUAUGAUCCAGUACCUAAUAUUUCUGGGUUUUAUUGUAUUAAUUGUAUGUUUCCAAUAAAUAACUGCAAAUAAAUGAAAAUGUCUUUUAUAUAUACAGUACAGUACCUAUACAGUGGGGGAAAUAAGUAUUGGACGCAUCAACAUUUUUAUCAGUAAAUAUAUUUCCAGUGAGGCUAUUCACAUGAAAUUUUCACCAGACAUCAGUAUUCACUCAAGAAAUCUAGAAAUAUAAAGACUUCACAACAUUAAAGUCCAUGAAUGAAGUUAUGUGUAAUAAAGAGGAAUGACACAGGUAAAAAGUAUUGAACACGCUAACUGAAAUUAAUUUAAUACUUAGUGGAGAAGUCUUUGUUUGUAGUGACGCUUCAAGACGCUUCCUGUAUGAAGAAAUUAAUGGGCCGCAGUAUUCAGGUGUGAUUUUGGUCCGUUCUUCUAAACAUAUUGUCUUUAAAUCUUGUUCAGUUGGAUUCGAGUCAGGUGAUUGACUGGGCCGUUCUAACGCCUUCAUUUUUUCUCUCUGAAACCAAUUAAGAGUUUCCUUUGCUGUAUGUUUUGAAUCGUUGUCCUGCUGGAAGCUCCACCCACGUCUCAUCUUCAUCCUCCUGGUGGAUGGCAGCAGAUUCCUCUCAAGAUUCUCCCGGUAAAGGGCUCCAUUCAUCGUUCCUUCAAUUAGAUGAAGUCUGUCAGUACCAUGUGAUGAAAAACAGCCGAACACCAUGAUGCUUCACCUCCACACUUCACUGUUGGUGUAGUGUUUUUAGGAUGAUGUGCAGUGACAUUUCUUCUCCAAACAUGGUGUGUAGUAUGACAGCCAAGAAGUUCUAUUUUGCUCUCGUCUGAUCAGACUACACUCUCCCAGUGUUUCAUAGGCUUGUCCAGAUGAGUUGUAGCAAACUUUAAAUGAGCUUUUCUUUAGUAAUGGAGUCUUGCGGGUGAGCGUGAGCAGUGGAGUGCACUGCCUAUUGUUUUCUCUGUGACGAUGGCAACUGCUGCCUCCAAGUGUUUCUGGAGCUCUUUCCGAGUGGUCCUUGGCUCUUGGGUUACUCUUCUGACUAUUCUUCUGACUCCCUGGUCAGAAAUCUUGUGAGGAGCUCCUGUGCGUGGCCGGUUGAUGAUAGAGUCAUGUUACUUCCACUUGCAGAUAAUGGCCCCGGUGGUGCUUACUGAAAGUUUCAGAAGUUUUGAGAUAAAUCUGUAUCCAAUUCCAGCAAGAUGUUUUGCAACAAUAAGGUUCCGAAGGUUUUGGUAGAGCUCUUUGCUUUUAUCCAUCAUGAGAUGAUUCUUGUGUCACACCUUGGUAACAAAAAGCUUUUUUAUAGACCAUCAAUUUACUAACCCAGCUGAUAUUAAUUUGCACAGAUAAGAGGUGUAAUUACUUACAGAUUUCAGCUGGUUCCUUGUCUUACCUUGCCUUGGAGAACUGCUUUUUCUUCUCUACUUUUUUCCUGUGUCCUUCCACUUUAUCACACAUAACUUCUUUUUUGGACUUUCGAGUUAACACUGAUGUCUGGUGAAAAUUUCAUAUGAAUAGCCUUAUAGUAAAUAUAUUUACUGAAAAAAAUGUUGUUCAGUACUUAAUUCCCCCACUCUAUGAAUAUAUGAAUAAAACAUACAUC